UAGACAAACGCUGCAUAUUAUGUAGAGGAAAGUCCAUGCUCACUCAUCCUGGAAUGGAUGGUAAUGUUCGUGCUAAGGGAAAAAAUAACCUUAGGUAGUAUAUUUAUACUAACGGCUCCGAAAUAAUCAAGAACUGAUUAAAGUAGGUAUAAAAGUGCCAUAGAGACGAGAUUGUUAGGAAUAACAAUUGUGGAACGAGGUAAACCCCGCGAGUGAGAAACCCAAAUUUGGUAGGGGAACUCUUACGAAUGAAUUAAUAAAGGAGUAAGGGAGGGAGUAAUCCCUAGAUAAAUGUUUGUCACCUUUUAGGUACAGAACAUGGCUUAUU
rnacentral:RNase_P_RNA from 1 species